AGAAAUCUGUCAGGGCGUGGGCGCUGGCUUAUCAAUGAUGCACCCCCCCCAAGCAGUUUUUUCC